UGUGUUGCUUACCUACGGAAAGGAAUUCGACCGUAUCGUUUCCCCUCUCCGCUCGAUGCACUAUGUGGGCAUGGGGUGGACGCUAGGCACGCUACGUGUUCCUCGCAAGCCUUGCCUUGUUCUAGGGGGCUGUUGAGGCCCACGGGGCCGUUGCCCGUUCUCUCGGAUGCGGAACGUCAUGCAUGGGUGCGGGGUCUCGGCCUCUGCUUGCCCAAGCUGAAGCAUUUGUCCCUUGACACGAACGACCGCCUCGGCCGUCUUGAUCGCGUUGUAGCCUACGUGCUUGACGGGGCUCAUGCGGCCGUUGGCGUCGUCGAGGAAUGCUACCUGGUUGAUCCUGCCAGUAGUCAU
rnacentral:misc_RNA from 1 species